rnacentral:rRNA from 1 species
UACGGGGGGGGCAAGCGUUGUUCGGAAUUACUGGGCGUAAAGGGCUCGUAGGCGGCCAACUAAGUCGGACGUGAAAUCCCUCGGCUUAACCGGGGAACUGCGUCCGAUACUGGAUGGCUUGAGGUUGGGAGAGGGAUGCGGAAUUCCAGGUGUAGCGGUGAAAUGCGUAGAUAUCUGGAGGAACACCGGUGGCGAAGACGGCAUCCUGGACCAAUUCUGACGCUGAGUGAGCGAAAGCCAGGGGAGCAAACGGGG